GACGAACGCUGGCGGCGUGCCUAAUACAUGCAAGUCGAGCGAAUCAUUGGGAGCUUGCUCCCGAUGGUUAGCGGCGGACGGGUGAGUAACACGUGGGCAACCUGCCUGUAAGACUGGGAUAACACCGGGAAACCGGUGCUAAUACCGGAUAAUCCUUUUCCUCUCAUGAGGGAAAGCUGAAAGUCGGUUUCGGCUGACACUUACAGAUGGGCCCGCGGCGAAUUAGCUAGUUGGUGAGGUAACGGCUCACCAAGGCGACGAUGCGUAGCCGACCUGAGAGGGUGAUCGGCCACACUGGGACUGAGACACGGCCCAGACUCCUACGGGAGGCAGCAGUAGGGAAUCUUCCACAAUGGACGAAAGUCUGAUGGAGCAACGCCGCGUGAGCGAUGAAGGCCUUCGGGUCGUAAAGCUCUGUUGUUAGGGAAGAACAAGUACCGGAGUAACUGCCGGUACCUUGACGGUACCUAACCAGAAAGCCACGGCUAACUACGUGCCAGCCGCCGCCGUAACAC
rnacentral:rRNA from 1 species